rnacentral:rRNA from 1 species
UUGAACGCUGGCGGCAGGCCUAACCCCUGCAAGUCGAACGGUAACAGGAAGAAGCUUGCUUCUUUGCUGACGAGUAGCGGACGGGUGAGUAAUGUCUGGGAAACUGCCUGAUGGAGGGGGAUAACUACUGGAAACGGUAGCUAAUACCGCAUAACGUCGCAAGACCAAAGAGGGGGACCUUCGGGCCUCUUGCCAUCGGAUGUGCCCAGAUGGGAUUAGCUAGUAGGUGGGGUAACGGCUCACCUAGGCGACGAUCCCUAGCUGGUCUGAGAGGAUGACCAGCCACACUGGAACUGAGACACGGUCCAGACUCCUACGGGAGGCAGCAGUGGGGAAUAUUGCACAAUGGGCGCAAGCCUGAUGCAGCCAUGCCGCGUGUAUGAAGAAGGCCUUCGGGUUGUAAAGUACUUUCAGCGGGGAGGAAGGGAGUAAAGUUAAUACCUUUGCUCAUUGACGUUACCCGCAGAAGAAGCACCGGCUAACUCCGUG